rnacentral:rRNA from 1 species
GUGAGCGGCAGACGGGUGAGUAACGCGUGGGGAUAUGCCCAAAGGUGCGGAAUAACUGUGGGAAACUACAGCUAAUACCGCAUGUGCCCUUCGGGGGAAAGAUUUAUCGCCUUUGGAUUAACCCGCGUCAGAUUAGCUAGUUGGUAGGGUAAUGGCCUACCAAGGCGACGAUCUGUAGCUGGUCUGAGAGGAUGACCAGCCACACUGGGACUGAGACACGGCCCAGACUCCUACGGGAGGCAGCAGUGGGGAAUAUUGGACAAUGGGCGCAAGCCUGAUCCAGCCAUGCCGCGUGAGUGAUGACGGCCUUAGGGUUGUAAAGCUCUUUUAACAGGGACGAUAAUGACGGUACCUGUAGAAUAAGCCCCGGCUAACUUCGUGCCAGCAGCCGCG